rnacentral:lncRNA from 1 species
UCGGGAGACGGGGACGUCCCUCCCCCUGGCGCGCGCCGCCGCCGCUGCCCAGCCCUUGCCUCCGGCGCGCGCGUGGAUUGACGGGGCGGACUGGACGGGGCGGACUGGACGGGGCGGGCUGGCUGGUGCUAGGAAGGAAACACUGUACGCUGGGGCGACAGGACAGCUUCGUCCCAAAUUUCAUUCCAUUCCCAGUAAGCAUCUGCCUUUGAAGAAACAGCAAAACCCUCCCGCACACUCACAUGGGCCCUUCUGGCAUUGCCCAGGAAGGGAACCCGAUUCUGGCUAGAGGCCCAGGAGCUCUGGCUUUGGUGGCGUAACCACAUUUACUUGUCCAAUGAUAAAAGAGUGGCAGCUCUGCAGCCCCUGACCUUUUUUUUUUUUUUUAAGAGAGAGAAAUUUUUGACAUUUAUUUUUUAGUUUUAGGCGGACACAACAUCUUUGUUUGUAUGUGGUCCUGAGGAUGGAACCUGGGCCGCACGCAUGCCAGGCGAGCGCGCUACCGCUUGAGCCACAUGCCAGCCCCUCACCUUUUAAACUAAGCAGAACUGGUGAUUCUUUAGAGUGUGAGCAGCAGCAGCAGCAGCAGCAGCAGCAGCAGCAGCAGCAGCAGCAGCAGGAGGAGGAGGAGGAGCAGCAGCAGCAGCAGCGGCAGCACCGCCUGGGAACUAGUUAGAAAUGUGAAAUCUGGGCCCUGUACCUGGCAUACUAAACCUGUACCCAACAUCAGGUGUUCAAACCAAUUCACUAGGGAGUUCUCAUGUAGCUCAAGUUUGAGAUCCACUGAUCCACACUUUCCUUUUUAUACUAGCAUUUUCGUUUGCUGCCCUUUGUGCUACAAGUGUGAAAUAAAACUCGGAUGCACGCUUUUUCUGA